GAUGACUCUGUGGGUGUAAAUGACAUAGAUCUAAGCCUCUAUGUCCCAAGAGAUGUGGAAGAGACAGGGAUCACUGUGGCCAGUCUUGAAAGAUUCAGCACCUAUGCGUCAGAUAAGGACGAGAACAAAUUAAGUGAAGCUUCUGGAGGUCUGGCUGAAAAUGGUGAAAGAAGUGAUUUGGAUGAGGACAGCGGAGGGGGAGGACAGGAAAAUGGGUCCAUCGAUGCUGUUCCUGUUGAUGAAAACCUGUUCACUGGUGAAGAUCUGGAUGAACUAGAAGAAGAAUUAAACACACUUGAUUUAGAAGAAUGACGACAAGGAAGAAAAUUAGGUCGGCUCAGUACGAUCAACAUGAACUGAGAUUGACAACGUUAAUUGUUUUGCCACCCGGAAUCAACAGGAUGUUUAUUUCCCCGUGAUGAUUCUGGAGGGACUCUGUCCUCCAAAAGGAAUACUCUCCCUGCGUCUUCUCUUCUGACUCUGACUACAGCUCUUAAUUGCGGAUGUCACCACCGAGACAUUUAGUUGUGUGCACCAACCAUCUCUGCUGA
rnacentral:lncRNA from 1 species